rnacentral:rRNA from 1 species
CUGCUGCCUUCCGUAGGAGUCUGGGCCGUGUCUCAGUCCCAAUGUGGCCGUUCAACCUCUCAGUCCGGCUACCGAUCGUCGGCUUGGUGGGCUAUUAUCUCACCAACUACCUAAUCGGGCGCGAGCCCAUCUUUCAGCGAUAAAUCUUUGAUUGGGUCAUGAUGCCAUAUCCCAAUGUUAUGCGGUAUUAGCGUUCGUUUCCAAACGUUAUUCCCCUCUGAAAGGCAGGUUGCUCACGUGUUACUCACCCG